UACGUAGGGUGCGAGCGUUAAUCGGAAUUACUGGGCGUAAAGCGUGCGCAGGCGGUUGUGCAAGACAGGUGUGAAAUCCCCCGGGCUUAACCUGGGAACUGCACUUGUGACUGCACGGCUGGAGUGCGGCAGAGGGGGAUGGAAUUCCGCGUGUAGCAGUGAAAUGCGUAGAUAUGCGGAGGAACACCGAUGGCGAAGGCAAUCCCCUGGGCCUGCACUGACGCUCCAUGCACGAAAGCGUGGGGAGCAAACAGG
rnacentral:rRNA from 1 species